rnacentral:rRNA from 1 species
AACGAACGCUGGCGGCAUGCCUAACACAUGCAAGUCGAACGAGCCCUUCGGGUCUAGUGGCGCACGGGUGCGUAACGCGUGGGAACCUGCCCUUAGGUUCGGAAUAACUCCCCGAAAGGGGUGCUAAUACCGGAUAAUGUCUUCGGACCAAAGAUUUAUAGCCUUUGGAUGGGCCCGCGUUGGAUUAGCUAGUUGGUAGGGUAAAAGCCUACCAAGGCGACGAUCCAUAGCUGGUCUGAGAGGAUGAUCAGCCACACUGGGACUGAGACACGGCCCAGACUCCUACGGGAGGCAGCAGUGGGGAAUAUUGGACAAUGGGCGAAAGCCUGAUCCAGCAAUGCCGCGUGAGUGAUGAAGGCCUUAGGGUUGUAAAGCUCUUUUGCCCGGGAUGAUAAUGACAGUACCGGGAGAAUAAGCCCCGGCUAACUCCGUG